UCAUUAACGUCAAUAACUUGGACCGACCAGUUUGUUUUGCUUGAUGAAGAGCAGGAAGGGCAGCCUGGAGAGAAAGAGAAGCCGGGUUGAGCCCACUACCAUCAUCCACGUACCACGAGGAAGAUGAGGGAGAGAAAUGAUCCUACCAUUAAAGAGACUGUGAAAAGAACGUUGAGAACAUCACCAUUCUACAGGAAGACACAGUCCAGUAAUGGGUGUCAGAAGUUCAGUAGUGAACGACAGGAAGGACUGAUGCAUGUACUGAGAUGGGACGUGAGGGCCUACUCUGCGUGCUCAGAGUUCAAG